rnacentral:tRNA from 1 species
UAGGCUAGUGGUUAAGGCUAUGGAUUGCCAAUCCGGAGACGGCGGGUUCGAUUCCCGU